AUUCUGUUCAAUAUCAAGGCUCAAAUCGAAAAAUAUUUCAUCUCUUGCUGUAACAGUCUCACACUGCAGGCAUCUUGUCUCGUUGGUAAGAAUUCCCUGAUCCAAGUAUGAAUGAGAAACCAUGAGACGCUGGCUUUUUAUUUAUUUAUUUGGCUGGUUGGAGAGAGGGCAGAGGGGGAAAGAGGGGAAAGGGGAAAAGAGGGGGUCGGUGCAGAGCAAUAAGAAUAUUACCACCACCAUUUAAAAUAUUUAAGCAAGGAACUACGGCUAUGCAAAUAAUUUACACAAGAAAAAUAUUAAAUGAGAAUAUAUAAUUGGCUAUUGAAAGUCACCUGAAAAUUUUUGUGCACCCAAG
rnacentral:misc_RNA from 1 species